rnacentral:lncRNA from 1 species
CUUCCAAACCCCCUCAAAUUUCUAUUCCAUUUCAAUUUUUAAAGAGCAUUGACCGUCAUGGCUCCCAAAUCAAAGUCUAUCACGAGCAAGCACCAAAGAGAUUCACGAUCAGUCGAGAAAAGGGUGAAGCAUCGGCAGGAAGGUUCUGAAGGACCAUAUGCUCCUUCCCACUCUUCUCCUCCUCUGCCUCGACUGUUCAUGGGUACCUGAGUUAUCAAAAUGGGUCGGAAGGUAGAUUUUGAGUUUUUUGAAGUGGAACACUUCCAGAUUGGAUCGUGGAUCCACCAACAGUGUUGGAAAAAAGUCUGUUCUUUAGAGGUACCCACUUAUCCUAACCUUAUUCGUGAGUUUUUUGAAAAUCUUAGGGAUGGUGGAGAGACAUUUGAGUCCAUAGUAAAGGGUGUUA